GUAGCAAUACAAGGGAAGACCUAGUGGCGAACGGGUGAGUAUCACGUGAGAAACCAACCCCGGUCUCUGGGAUAACAGUUGGAAACGACUGCUAAUACUGGAUGUCGUCGUACCCUCGCAUGGGGGGAUGACGAAAGGGUUACCGGAUCGGGACGGUCUCGCGGCCUAUCAGCUUGUUGGGGAGGUAACGGCUCACCAAGGCUUCGACGGGUAGCUGGUCUGAGAGGAUGAUCAGCCACACUGGGACUGAGACACGGCCCAGACUCCUACGGGAGGCAGCAGUGGGGAAUCUUGCGCAAUGGGCGAAAGCCUGACGCAGCAACGCCGCGUGCGGGAUGAAGGCCUUCGGGUUGUAAACCGCUUUUAACAGGAACGAAAAUGACGGUACCUGUAGAAUAAGGUGCGGCCAACUACGUGCCAGCAGCCGCGGUGACACGUAGGCACCAAGCGUUGUCCGGAUUUAUUGGGCGUAAAGAGCUCGUAGGCGGUUCAGUAAGUCGGGUGUGAAAACUCUGGGCUUAACCCAGAGACGCCACUCGAUACUACUGUGACUAGAGUUCGGUAGGGGAGCGGGGAAUUCCUAGUGUAGCGGUGAAAUGCGCAGAUAUUAGGAGGAACACCGGUGGCGAAGGCGCCGCUCUGGGCCGAUACUGACGCUGAGGAGCGAAAGCGUGGGUAGCAAACAGGAUUAGAUACCCUG
rnacentral:rRNA from 1 species